rnacentral:lncRNA from 1 species
UCUAUGUUAUGAUAAUGAAACUAUAAAUAUAAUAAAGCAUAAACAUAAAAAAAAAUGUUAAAAGAAAUAAAAAAAACUACACAUUGGUAUCGAACCCACUCCACUAAUGACCAUAGAAAAUACCCUCUCUCCACUAGACCACUUAUGAUUAGUUGUUAUUUUAAUACUAAUUUAAAUAUAUAAACCAAGAUAAAUAAAAAAAAAAUUAAAAUAAAAAACUAAUAAAAAGGAAACUGUUGGACUACCCUAAUUAAACCUAAUUAAGCUAAUCAAAACUAAAGAUCCUAAUUAAUCAGAUCAACUCCUAAUUAUGAUCCUAAAAAAAAUCUAAUAUUCUAAACUAAUAUUAUUCUACUCUAAACCUAAUCUAAUUUUAAAUUUCUAAUUAUAUCCUAAAACUCAUCCAAUUAACCCAAAUCCCUAAUUAAUAUUUCUAAACUAAUUACCUAAUAUUCCUAAUUAACCUAUUAUAUACUUAAGAAAAAAUCUAAAUUUUCAAUUAAAAGCUAAAUGACAAAAGAAAAAAAGAACAUGGGCUUUUGCAAUGGACAGGGGGUACCGGCUCAUAUCUGCAAGGGUGCAGGGAGUAGUCUGUUUAGGCUUUAGUCCAAACCAAGCCCAAACCCCAUGAGUUAGUAUUCAUAGUACGAUGCCAAAAACGCUUAUGCAAAUAAGCUACGAAAACAGAUCAAGGUGAAAAGCGCUUAUGCAAAUAAGCUACGAAAACAAAUCAUGGGUUCGCGUUUACAAUAACAACAUCACGCUUCAUAUCAGAGCAUCGCGCUCAUCACUAGCUC